UGUUACCCUGGACUCGAACUGUUUGGAGACCAGGCCGGGCUCGGAGCGAAUCUUCAGUUAGGAAGUUACAGCAGCAUCUACCGAAACAGCCCUGCUGGCACUUGACGUUGUACCACUUGGGUUUGGUUUCAUUUUCUUCCCCAGCUGGCUCUCGAAAUAACCUUCUAGAUUUCAAACCAGUGUUUGAAACCACAAAUAAGGGAGCAAGUAGUCUCAAGAAGAAAAAAACUCUGGGAGAAUGUGCACUGAGAAAAGCCAGAUGGAGUCCUUCUGGAUCAAGUUAAUUAAGAAAUAAACACGACGGUAUACUGGAGUCAAAACCAAGGAAUGCGGUUUGCAUCUGGCUUUUGGGAUUCAGCAGACCCACCAACGGAGCAUCAGCUAACAGGCUGGAGGCUCUGUCAGCAAGUUCUUAAACGGCUCAUAAUUCUGCUAAGGGCUUGCAGGUAUCUAGCUGGUGUUCAAGGACCCAAGUGAAAACAUUACAAGGUUUUUG